CCAUUUGGUGCUGUAGACAAAUAGGUUAUGGGAAACUUCUCGACCCCUCCUCUCUGUCUCCCCCCAUCUCGCGCUGUCUCAGUCUCUCACACACUCUCGCGCUGUCUCUAGCGCGCGUGGACUACCGGAGCAGGGAAGCACGCGUAAUGAGCUAAGUAUUAGCGGCAAUUUUGAACCACAUGCGCACAGGGUGGACUCAUUAGUGAAACGGCGUUUUGCGCACCGAGAUCGGAUAAGGAAUGUUUGGAAAGACAUUCGGAGAGAAAAAGCCAGGAAAUAUGACCAUAACUGACCACUGGAAGAGAGUGAAGCGAAAUGGAGCUGUCUGCUUUAUCCUGCAAUAAAAUCCAGCAUAAGGUGAGAAGAGAUGGGAGAUGGGGUCACAGAAGAGAUGGAUUGCGCACUGUGCCGAGACUAAAGGUGGGAAGCAUCAAUGGAUGACGACUUCAAUCCCUUUAUAGAUAUGACCUGGAUCCCAGAGACAGAUCUUCAGCUUUGUCUUGAUGGAUGGAUUGUCUUCUUGGAGAAUUUUCUGGAUUAUGUGUACACGUAUGUGGAGUGAAAACCAUAUACCAUAGCAGAUGGAACUGGAAUAAAUCCACUAUGGCAUCUGGAUUGACACAAGAUCCAUGACUUGAAUGUUGUAUACAAGUGAAAUCACUAUGCAUUGUAUGAUUUUACUGCCUACUCCUUGUACAAAUAUUUUGGAUCAAAAAUGACUUGAAUAUGUUUGCACUAUGAAGUUUAUUUAUACAAUAAAUUGUUUCUUUUUCUAGAA